UGGGAAACUGGGUCUAAUACCGGAUAUGAGCUCCUGUCGCAUGGCGGGGGUUGGAAAGGUUUACUGGUGCAGGAUGGGCCCGCGGCCUAUCAGCUUGUUGGUGGGGUAAUGGCCUACCAAGGCGACGACGGGUAGCCGGCCUGAGAGGGCGACCGGCCACACUGGGACUGAGACACGGCCCAGACUCCUACGGGAGGCAGCAGUGGGGAAUAUUGCACAAUGGGCGAAAGCCUGAUGCAGCGACGCCGCGUGAGGGAUGACGGCCUUCGGGUUGUAAACCUCUUUCAGCAGGGACGAAGCGAAAGUGACGGUACCUGCAGAAGAAGCACCGGCCAACUACGUGCCAGCAGCCGCGGUAAUACGUAGGGUGCGAGCGUUGUCCGGAAUUACUGGGCGUAAAGAGCUCGUAGGCGGUUUGUCGCGUCGUCCGUGAAAACUUGGGGCUCAACCCCAAGCUUGCGGGCGAUACGGGCAGACUUGAGUACUGCAGGGGAGACUGGAAUUCCUGGUGUAGCGGUGAAAUGCGCAGAUAUCAGGAGGAACACCGGUGGCGAAGGCGGGUCUCUGGGCAGUAACUGACGCUGAGGAGCGAAAGCGUGGGUAGCGAACAGGAUUAGAUACCCUGGUAGUCCACGCCGUAAACGGUGGGCGCUAGGUGUGGGUUUCCUUCCACGGGAUCCGUGCCGUAGCUAACGCAUUAAGCGCCCCGCCUGGGGAGUACGGCCGCAAGGCUAAAACUCAAAGGAAUUGACGGGGGGCCCGCACAAGCGGCGGAGCAUGUGGAUUAAUUCGAUGCAACGCGAAGAACCUUACCUGGGUUUGACAUAUACCGGAAACACCUAGAGAUAGGUGCCCCCUUGUGGUCGGUAUACAGGUGGUGCAUGGCUGUCGUCAGCUCGUGUCGUGAGAUGUUGGGUUAAGUCCCGCAACGAGCGCAACCCUUGUCCUGUGUUGCCAGCGCGUAAUGGCGGGGACUCGCAGGAGACUGCCGGGGUCAACUCGGAGGAAGGUGGGGACGACGUCAAGUCAUCAUGCCCCUUAUGUCCAGGGCUUCACACAUGCUACAAUGGCCGGUACAGAGGGCUGCGAUACCGUGAGGUGGAGCGAAUCCCUUAAAGCCGGUCUCAGUUCGGAUCGGGGUCUGCAACUCGACCCCGUGAAGUCGGAGUCGCUAGUAAUCGCAGAUCAGCAACGCUGCGGUG
rnacentral:rRNA from 1 species